UAUGUAUCCCAAUCUGCAUGUUUCUGUUGCGCCAAAACAUUGUUCCUUUUAUUUUCUGUCAAUUUAAUUAAUGUUUAUGUGUGCUUUUGUAGUAUGUUUAUGUCUGUCAACUUAAUUAGUGUUUAUGUGUUUUUUGUAGCUCUUUUAUUGUCUAUCAACUUAAUAAAUGUUUAUAUGUUUUUGGUAUGCAUAAGCAUGGUAGUAAAACAGGCUCACCUAUUAGCAAGUUGCUACUUGCAUGUGGUGGUCCGAUCCUAUAUGCCGGUAAUCUAGUAUGCCUCUGCAUUUCGGUAGAAGUAGCAUUCAGAACAUAGUGUUUUACUGCAGAGAUUGUCUCAUCGUAUAGAUAUUUCUCCCUCCU
rnacentral:lncRNA from 1 species